AGCAGCAACAACAAUAACAAGAAGAGAAAGAAACAACAGCCGGAAGCAGCAAAUGAAACAGCAAGAAUUGAACAGCAGGAGGAACGGCGUUGCCGUCGUCAUAAGCCACUGGAAAUAGCAGGAUCAGCAGCAGCAUCUAGAAAUAGCAGCGGCGGUAGCAGGAAUAGCAGCAACAGCAUCGACAGCAGCUGGGGCAGCAGCAGCAGCUUCCCGGGAUAGUGGUGUCAAGCGGUGGCGGCGGUGGAGGUUCCAGGCAGCCUCCCCCUCAGUCUUUGGCUCCAGUCCAGGGCGAGCGCUCUCCAGGCCCCCGCUCCUGCCAGCCAGCUACCCAGCCCGUGGCGACCUCACAUCUCCCGCUGGUGUCUUGCCUGACCACUUCCUAUUAUCACCUUGCAACACCUCGUUACUCAUCCAUCACGUGCUGGACAUCCAGGCAGUGGAUAGUGUGUUUUCCUGCCGGGCCACCAACACCCACACCGCCCCGGGCUUUGUGUGUCCAGCUGGACGUAGUAGUGUGACAUUUCCCCCUGCAGCCACUCACACUCGUGUGGGUGACUGGAAUAGACUGACCCACACUCGAGCCAAUCACUCGUGUGUGGACUGUGACACUUACUCUGUGACCAGUCACUCGUGUGUGUGACUGGAAUAGAUUGGUUACCACCACGGGCAGCCACGUUCUCGUGUGGACUGUGGUGAGCGGGAUAGACUGGCCAGCACUCAAGGGGCAGUCAGUGACUGGUGUGGUGGAAGCAGAGGUUGUAUUCGAGUGCGGGUUAACAGUGUCAAGGGUCUAACAUAGAGUGUUUGUCAGUGUGCUCAGAGGACCACAACGCCCUCUGGACAGCAUCUUCCCUCUCCCUCAGUGAACAACGGCUACUACUGACCAGGUCGUCCAGCGGCUGGUGUGAAGGAACACUUCUUCCCUCCCUCAGUAGUGAAGGACCUACUCCUGUGCUACUAUCCCUACAUCCAGUCGUCGAGUGGCUAGUGUACGUGUGUGAGGUAGACGGUUUGGUGUCGAAUCGGUGGUAGCUCAGGUGAUGAUGGUGAGCUGUGACGUCGAUGGUAAUAAAUUGAAACUGAGGAAAAAGUUUUGAUAAUUAAGGUUAAAAGUGAGAUAAAACGGAAAGAAAAGUAAAAACAAAAAACGAGUGAAGUUGAGAGGGGGAAAAUAUUGAUAAAACGUGUGGGUGACCGCCGGAGAAACACUGAAUUUAGCAACAGUGUGGGCGGAGGGGGAAAAUAGUCCCCUGAAGAACUUAAUAAAUUAACUUAAACGCUCCCCGGGCACAAAGUUAAGUGCUGGGGCCUUUUUAACACCGACUAAAGGUUAAUUUCAGAGUUUUAAAGAAAUAAUAAUUGCUGUUAAGGUUCAAAUUGUUCAAAUUGUAAACAUCGUCUGGGUUUAAAUUGAAAGUUUUAACAUCGUCACCUGGUUAAAAAUUUCAGUGGAGUUAAAUUGAAAGCUUUUAACCUCGUAGCAGAGUUAAUAAUUGAGGUAAACUAAAUGAAAGCGAGUGUUAAAGAGUGUUACAACCACAACAACAGUGAUGGUGGUAGCCGAGAGGAAAGCAUAACACCUGGACUAACUAAUCAACACAACCAACAAUCACCAUUACUACUACAACCACCAUCGACAACCACCACCACCACUACUACUACUACUACUACAACCACCACGAUGAUGACCGUGACAGAGAAUAGUGAUGAUCAGGUUAUGAACGAUAUGAAUGAGAUGGAUGUUGACCACCUACAACAACAACAAGAUAAGGAGAAUGGCAAAGGGGACGAUCCUUCUCAUUCACCAGGUAUGUAUUUGCUCU